UCAAGUUUUUACUCUAAUAGAACUGCUCUCGUGUGUGUCGUUCAGGAGCUAGAUAGAAGGCAUUGAAGAGCGCGGGAAAUGGGGUUUAGACACUGUUGUUUCGCGCCAAAUAUUUGUUGUUGUUGAUCGCAUUAUCAAAUCCUAAUUCUUCACAUGCGCAAUCUGUGAGAAAGAGCCAGAGUGAAGGAGAAGACUUGUACAUUUCAUAGGAUUUGCACUGAGUGAAACUUGGAGGUUGAAAUCUUCUUACAGAAAAGGCUUGGCUUGACUCUGGCACGUGCGCAAAUGAUUUGGCUGGUAACUUGGGGCGUGGACACAUACAUUCGGAUGGCUGUCAUUUUGUAAUUAUUUUCUGGAUUUUCUUCCUUGGAAUCUGGUUGUUAUGGCAGAAUACAAUUUAAUUAGAUAUGUUAGAUGAAUGCUAUAGCUUACUGCCGGAUGCUUUAUCUGUUGUACUUCAACGUGGUGAAACUGAUAUUAUUUGGUUGUUCUCUUCUAUUAGAAACACUGCAGAUUUA